UGGCUCUCGCAUCGAUGAAGAACGCAGCGAAAUGCGAUAAGUAAUGUGAAUUGCAGAAUUCAGUGAAUCAUCGAAUCUUUGAACGCACCUUGCGCCCUUUGGUAUUCCGAAGGGCAUGCCUGUUUGAGUGUCAUUAAAUUCUCAACUUCAAAAGCUUUUGUCUUUUUGAAGCUUGGAUGUGAAGGUUUGCUGGCGUUUCAAAUGUUCAGCUCCUUUAAAAUGUAUUAGUGGACCCAUUUGUGUUCAGCCUUAGUGUGAUAAUUAUCUAUGCUAUGGUCUUUGAAUACAUGCUCAUUAGAGCUUCGAGCUGUUAUUAACAGUCUCGGUGUGGAGAGUUGCAUGAACUUGCUCUUUCUGUCUUUUGAGUUAGGAUUGUUUGCUUCUAACCGUCUGCGUAUGUGGACAAUUUGAACCAUUUGACCUCAAAUCAGGUAGGACUACCCGCUGA
rnacentral:misc_RNA from 1 species